CUGCCAUGAUGGAUGUUAAGUCGACAAUGCCGUCGAGAACAACAACACGUUGCUGGCUGACCCAAUCAAGGAUUUGUGUGAGUUCAUUUUAAGAUGUGACCAGUAUGAACUUGGCAGAUUAACUGAUCGUGACUGGGCAAAGUCUGAAAAAUGAGUUCAUCGGUAAUUGUCCACUUGGUUUGCGUGGGAUGGCUGCUGGAGUUCGUUUAUUAAACUAUAAGAGUGUGCUUAAUGACGAGGGCAGUGCGAGGAGGAUCUUCGUUUGUUCGAAAUUCCUGCUGGAAAUACUGAAACGACCAUCGCAAAAGAGACGUCUUCCAAGCAUUGAAUCUGUUGUGCGG